ACAAUUAUUUUCAAAGUUUUUCAAAGUAGAAAAAAACAAUUAAAGGUUCCUCCUAAUUCUUCCCUAAUAACUCAAAUCAAAACCUACGGGUUAAGAACCCUAGAUGGCAAUUCAUAAAAUAAACUUCAACCACGCUCAAAUUCGAUCUACAACUAUGGGGAAAAUGUCCCUCUACCCUCACACAAUAAAAUGGUAACAAGAAGUUGAAGAAAACAAAGAGAAAUGGUGUGAGAUUUCCGGAGCAGAUCGAAAUUGAAGAUGCACAAUGAAAAAGGAUGCAGGUUGUUUGUGAUGUGCCGGGAUGACUUGGCUUGGUGUUUGACCAUGAUUCAAGAAUGUUUGGCAUGAAGGCUCAUGUCGAUAACUUGAAGAAAUAAAGCUUGCUUGCACAUGAAGAAAUUUGUCCAUGAAAUCAAGUGAAAGGAUGGAUAAGAAUUAAUCGUAAAAGGACAUUUUGAAUUAGGACUAGAAAUUAGGUCAGUUGACUUUGGUCAACUAGUUGAUCAAAAAGUUAACAGUUGACCAAAAGUCAACUAUAGGUCAAAGUCUUAUUUUUUUUGUAAUUUUUUUGUAUGAAUAUUGCAAAUGAUAUUUGAUGUGAAAAUAGCAAGUGUACUAUUUUUCUCACUGUAGUAAUAAAAGGGAAAUUCCCCGUUUGUCGA